UCUGAUGUUAGCGGCGGACGGGUGAGUAACACGUGGAUAACCUACCUAUAAGACUGGGAUAACUUCGGGAAACCGGAGCUAAUACCGGAUAAUAUUUUGAACCGCAUGGUUCAAAAGUGAAAGACGGUCUUGCUGUCACUUAUAGAUGGAUCCGCGCUGCAUUAGCUAGUUGGUAAGGUAACGGCUUACCAAGGCAACGAUGCAUAGCCGACCUGAGAGGGUGAUCGGCCACACUGGAACUGAGACACGGUCCAGACUCCUACGGGAGGCAGCAGUAGGGAAUCUUCCGCAAUGGGCGAAAGCCUGACGGAGCAACGCCGCGUGAGUGAUGAAGGUCUUCGGAUCGUAAAACUCUGUUAUUAGGGAAGAACAUAUGUGUAAGUAACUGUGCACAUCUUGACGGUACCUAAUCAGAAAGCCACGGCUAACUACGUGCCAGCAGCCGCGGUAAUACGUAGGUGGCAAGCGUUAUCCGGAAUUAUUGGGCGUAAAGCGCGCGUAGGCGGUUUUUUAAGUCUGAUGUGAAAGCCCACGGCUCAACCGUGGAGGGUCAUUGGAAACUGGAAAACUUGAGUGCAGAAGAGGAAAGUGGAAUUCCAUGUGUAGCGGUGAAAUGCGCAGAGAUAUGGAGGAACACCAGUGGCGAAGGCGACUUUCUGGUCUGUAACUGACGCUGAUGUGCGAAAGCGUGGGGAUCAAACAGGAUUAGAUACCCUGGUAGUCCACGCCGUAAACGAUGAGUGCUAAGUGUUAGGGGGUUUCCGCCCCUUAGUGCUGCAGCUAACGCAUUAAGCACUCCGCCUGGGGAGUACGACCGCAAGGUUGAAACUCAAAGGAAUUGACGGGGACCCGCACAAGCGGUGGAGCAUGUGGUUUAAUUCGAAGCAACGCGAAGAACCUUACCAAAUCUUGACAUCCUUUGACAACUCUAGAGAUAGAGNCUUCCCCUUCGGGGGACAAAGUGACAGGUGGUGCAUGGUUGUCGUCAGCUCGUGUCGUGAGAUGUUGGGUUAAGUCCCGCAACGAGCGCAACCCUUAAGCUUAGUUGCCAUCAUUAAGUUGGGCACUCUAAGUUGACUGCCGGUGACAAACCGGAGGAAGGUGGGGAUGACGUCAAAUCAUCAUGCCCCUUAUGAUUUGGGCUACACACGUGCUACAAUGGACAAUACAAAGGGCAGCGAAACCGCGAGGUCAAGCAAAUCCCAUAAAGUUGUUCUCAGUUCGGAUUGUAGUCUGCAACUCGACUACAUGAAGCUGGAAUCGCUAGUAAUCGUAGAUCAGCAUGCUACGGUGAAUACGUUCCCGGGUCUUGUACACACCGCCCGUCACACCACGAGAGUUUGUAACACCCGAAGCCGGUGGAGUAACCUUUUAGGAGCUAGCCGUCGAAGGUGGGACAAAUGAUUGGGGUGAAGUCGUAACAAGGUAGCCGUAUCGGAAGGUGCGGCUGGAUCACCU
rnacentral:rRNA from 1 species